GCCUGGGUGGCUCAGCUGUUGAGCACCUGCCUUCGGCCCAGGGUGUGAUCCUGGAGUCGCGGGAUCGAGUCCCGCAUCGGGCU
rfam:Canis lupus familiaris chromosome 3, whole genome shotgun sequence.